AUUGAACGCUGGCGGCAUGCCUUACACAUGCAAGUCGAACGGUAACGGGCCUUCGGGUGCCGACGAGUGGCGAACGGGUGAGUAAUGUAUCGGAACGUACCUUUCAGUGGGGGAUAACGUAGCGAAAAUUACGCUAAUACCGCAUAUUCUGUGAGCAGGAAAGCAGGGGAUCGCAAGACCUUGCGCUGAUUGAGCGGCCGAUGUCAGAUUAGCUAGUUGGUGAGGUAAAGGCUCACCAAGGCGACGAUCUGUAGCGGGUCUGAGAGGAUGAUCCGCCACACUGGGACUGAGACACGGCCCAGACUCCUACGGGAGGCAGCAGUGGGGAAUUUUGGACAAUGGGGGCAACCCUGAUCCAGCCAUGCCGCGUGAGUGAAGAAGGCCUUCGGGUUGUAAAGCUCUUUCGGCCGGGAAGAAAUCGCACAGGCUAAUACCUUGUGUGGAUGACGGUACCGGAAUAAGAAGCACCGGCUAACUACGUGCCAGCCGCCGCGGUAACAC
rnacentral:rRNA from 1 species